UACGUAGGGUGCGAGCGUUAAUCGGAAUUACUGGGCGUAAAGCGUGCGCAGGCGGUUUUGUAAGCCAGGUGUGAAAUCCCCGGGCUCAACCUGGGAAUGGCAUUUGGGACUGCAAGGCUGGAGUGCGGCAGAGGAGACUGGAAUUCCUGGUGUAGCAGUGAAAUGCGUAGAUAUCGGAAGGAACAUCAGUGGCGAAAGCGGCUUCCUGGUCCAGCACCGACGUUCAGGCACGAAAGCGUGGGGAGCAAACAGG
rnacentral:rRNA from 1 species